rnacentral:snRNA from 9 species
AUACUUACCUGGCGUAGAGGAUACCGUGAUCAUGCAGGCGGUUCCCCCAGGGUGAGGCUGCUCCAUUACACUGCGGAGUCGUUGCUGGUUGACCCUUGCGAUUAUUCUUAUUUUUUAUAAAUUUCACUUCUACCGUGUGUGACUUGCGUCUUGCACUCU